CUCCAACUCAAAGAAACCAAUCCACCACAAGCAGACGCCAAGUUUUCAGAGAGCCUUUAAAUCAAGACAACAAGCACUGAUUGAAAACCCACUCUCUGGGCUACUAAAGCGCCGAUAAUACAAAGGAGAAAGGUGGCCGUUUGGGAGCCCCACACCGUAUUCUUAAUCAUUGAUUGGUUCUGCCUCGUUCCAGCUGAGAGCUGUUAAACCUUUACUUAAAAAGAAGAAGAUCUCCCACAGCAUCCAGUACUCUCUCCCGUCCUGAUCUAUAUCUUGCCAUAGGACCCAGAAGGCUCUGGAGGAGAAAUGUCACAGAAGUCCACUAGGAAGAUAAAAAUCAAGACAACUGGCAAUGACUCAGGAUGCAGUGAAUGACCUUAAUAUCAUUGCAUUCUAAUCAAGCUCUAUGGGCUCAACACAGCCUAUUUCCACCGCCUUCGUGGCUUCGUGAGACAAAUUGCCUAUUCUGUUAGGGGAAAUCUUCAUAUACUUAAGGUAUACUCCACUAACUCAUCAAUGGAUUUAAUUGAUUACCUUCAAUCUGGUUUAACCCCUCUGUCUAAACAGUUUACUAGGCUGUGGCUGCUGGAUUGGAGCCACCUGUGAGAGCUGGAUGACAGAUGGACACCAAAGAUGGAAAAUAGCUCUGCAAAGAGUUGGGCAGCUCACAUCAAAGCUAUUAGUCUUCUCACCCUCUUCUAAACACUCUGCAAUCUGGCUUCAGAUCUCAUCAUUCAAUUAAAAUUGCUUUCUUCAAAGCUACCAGUGAUCUUUUAAUUUUAUUUAAUUUAGUAUUAUUCUAACUCCAAGUAAUUCUAGUCUAGAGGAAGAAAUAGCUAAACUUUCAUAAUUCCCCCAUGACCACUCUGACACCUCUCUACUCUGAGCAAAUUUAAGGUAAUAUAAAUAGGAAUCUUGAACAAGGAAAAUAUUAUUAUAUGUUCAAAUACAGUUUGGGACUAACAUUCCAAACAAACAAUAAUAUUUAAACUUCUAAAACAAAAUGGCCUGCAAACUAGAGAGAGCCAAAUCCACUUCCACCAGAGCUAAGAAUACUUUUUUACAUUUUCAAAUAAAAUAAAACUAUUUGAAAAUGUAAAAAAAUCAUUUUUAGAUCUGAGGUCAGAAUUUGAAAAGCCUGAGUGCUGAGAAUGUUUUUACAUUUUAAUGUUAACAAUGGAUUCCUCCCUAGAUCAUUCCCCUUAAGGGAUUUUUCCUAGUUUCUUUGUAUCCUCAGUGCCACUAAUUGGUCUGAUUAGCCACAGUCAGACAAACUGUAAGAUGACUCUAGUAUAAUAAUGUCAUUUUGGUCCUCUUUGAGAAUGGAAUUACAUAAAAAUUACAUGCAAUAAAA